ensembl:misc_RNA 7SK 7SK RNA
GGAUGUUACGGCAAUCCAACUGUGACAUUUGUCACCCCAAAGACUGUCUAGGUUGAUUUGGUUGAUCUCGCUGACUAGGCUCACAUCCCUCCGUUUGUGUCUCUCCUGAAGCUCUCACUCAUUUGAAGAGGAAAAUCUUCCCCAAAUAGAAAUAGAUCUUCAGAGUAACUGUGCUGCCUUACUAAACCUCCAAACAAUCUCUCAAGAGUGAGGCUCUGCAUCAAGCUCACAAUGUGAUGUCUGAUUUGGAGGAACUUCUACUAAAGAUAUACUUUUCAAAUAAAAUAAUUAGGAAUUAACAGCAGGCUGUGCUUAUUAACAU